UGUAUCCUCACAUUUAUAUGUACAUUUGAUCACUGACACCAGAUAGUAAAAUGUACUUGGGUAAUUGCAGUGAACCUGGCCACCUUGUGGCCAUUCUGCGCAUGCGUCACAGGAUCGUUUGCACUCAGACUUCCCAAGGCAAAGUUUGAGGGCGCCAUGUUUUCACGGGAAGACGGUGGAAGACGACAUGGACGGUCGUUUAACAAGGAAAUUCAUUGAUGUGGAGCCAUAUGGGCAGGCCCUGACAUCAAUCAUGACUUAAACCUGCCUGGAAGGAUUAGAAAUGUUGGAGCCAGGAAAGCAGCAGCUUGCACCAACAAAGACCCCUGACUGAGAAGAAUAUUGAAGGAUGUUGACGCUCAAGAAUUUGGUCGAGGGUGCGUGUAUACUGGAGCCUAUCCCAGUUGACUUCGGGCAAGAGGCGGUGCACACCCUGGACCGGUGGCCAGCCAAUCACAGGGCACAUAUAGACAAACAACCAUUCACACUCACAUUCAUACCUAUGGACAAUUUGGAGUCGCCAAUUAACCGAGCAUGUUUUUGGAAUGUGGGAGGAAACCAGAGUACCCGGACAAAACUCACACAUGCACGGGGAGAACAGGCAAACUCCACACAGAGAUGCAACGGAGAAUCGAAGCCAGGUCUUUGGUUUAGUUAUGAAAUGUUUAAUUUAUUUCACAGGUUCCUCAACCUGUGGAUGUGUUGUAUUUUUGUGCACCGUGAUCAAGUAUGUCCUUUCUUUUGAUGACCACAUAUAUAAACAGCCCCUCUGCCAAAUGUUUUCAUUCAAUGUGGCUGGCAAGUACAACAACUACAAAUGUAGUAAAGGUGUUCUGGUUUGAAAGAAUGUUUUGUAAAAUAUGUGUUAAGAUCAUUUCAUUUAAUUCAAAGAAGGUCAUCUUAAAAAAAAUACAACACAGUCAUAUCAGAAAAGUGGUGUAGGUGGUAGCUUAAAUCUCAUGUAAAUAUUACUUAUAAAUUGCUCCAAAUGAAGUAAGGGAAAACUAGUUAAACAAUCCUGAAAGGCGAGUAUAUUUAUAUGGAUUGUUAGGUAGAUUCAAAGGUAGUUUUGAGUAAAAUUUACUAGCAAAGAGAGUACCUUUUGUGUCUAAGACAGUACAUCUCAAGUAAUAUUAAAGAGUAUUUUUAAUUAGACAAGUAAAUUUUACUUGAAUAUUUCCCAAGUAACAGUUACUUAGGAAUUGUGCGUGCAAAUUGUUACCUAGCUUUUUUCAAGUAAAUGGCACUCCACAUUUUUUUCAGUGCAUGGCAUAUAACAUAGAGCUGGUCUUUGAAUGUUUUGGGACUAACAAUAGGCCACGGUCUACCACCAGGCAGUGAUUAUUUAUGAAUUAUUUUUUGAAAAAAGGCGAUGAAGAAGCGACAUUGUAGCCGUGAUCCUGUAUAGGGAGGAAUGACUGUACAGCUUCUAUGUUACAAAUGUAUUGGCUGUAAGAAAUCUAUGUAUUCAUCUAGCUUGCAUUAUACAGGAUAUGAUGCAUCAUGUGUGUGUGAUUUUCCUGGUUUUCCUGGCAGGCGUUGGCACUGAUUACAAGCCCCCAUUGCCCGGCCCUGAUCGGCUUGCCCCCCCAUGACGACACGGAGUAAAUGAACAAUAGUGUUAUAUACUGGACCAUAUACCCUGGGAUUGGCUGGCCACCAGUGCAGGGUGUACCCCGCCUCUCGCCCGAAGACAGCUGGGAUAGGCUCCAGCAUCCCCCGCGACCCUCCUGAGGAUAAGCGGACGCCACUGCAACAUCUUCUAAUUUGGACUCUGCCAUGCGGACAAAGAGCCCAAUAUGCUUUCCAAAGGCGUAAAACCCAUCCAAGCUAGCUGGAUUAACAGAGGCGGCGGGACAGCCAUGCUGUGGAACACCCAGGAAGGCCAGCCUCCAUUUCCCUCCGGUGUCCCUCAGGACGUGGGGGUGUGGGAAGAUGAACCUGCCGGCUUCUUCCUUUCUUGUUACUCAUUUGAUGCCACUCCUAAAUAUGGUGACAAGCGAGUUAGACUGCGUGGACGCUACCCCCGCCAUCAUAACAGUGGCUUGCCAAGACGUGCGUGCCUUCAUCAUACGACAUGGAACAGAUGAUGGAUGGAUCACCGAGUCAGCCCUGGUAAUGCCUCAGUAAAAGGUAGUGGACAGGUGGAAUAAACCAAGUAAAGGGGAGGUCUUUACCGUGUAUGAAGGUUAGUAUCGUGACAUUAUGUCUGCUGGAAAAUGCUUGUUACGAAAUGAGACGGUGGUGCUAAGAUCGAGCUGGAGAUGAAUAACGGAGGCCCAACAGCGACGUGUCUGAUGGAGCCGAGGGACGUUGACGUGUCGAGGGAAUUGUCUGUUUUGCCUCUUUAGCUGGAAUUGAUUUCUUCAAAGGCCACUUGUUUUUUAAUUAAAACACUGAAGUAGCUAAUUGUGAAAUUGAUUGUGGCUGUGUUUUGCAUGCUGUAAACCAAUAGACCGAUUCCCUGGGUGCCAUCUGUAUUUAUUGGGGGAAAACGUGCACCCUCUUCCAACUCCAACCUUCACUGGAAGGAAUUCUCUGCGCUUAGCGCUCUAAUCCCACAACUUGUCCAAACCUUGAGAAACUUUUCCAAUACUAAGCUUUACGAGAAAGUGACAGCACGCUAGUCUUUAAGGCACAGCAGGCCCUGCAGGCUCAGACGCAGCAGCAUUACACACUGGACACCACGCAGCGUCUCCACCCUUCCCUGCUCUACCCUACUCUACUUUACUCUACCCUACUCUGCUGUACUCUGCCGUACGUAAAAGUCUGCUCCAAAGAUGAACUUCUCCCCUGCCAGGAAGAUUUACGGCGGUGGUGAGAUGAGGUUUCUUUGUGCCAAACCUUCUCAUUCAUCUUUCUUGGGGCUAACAUUACCUUCAGAGACCUUAUAUCUCAGCAAGGCUUUCUGCCAGCGGAUUCAUCACGGCACCUUCAAUUAUUCAUCCUGCUUUUUAGGAAGUCCUAAUGGAAGUCCACAAUUUCACCAAGAAAAAUGUUUCUCCAUUAAAAUGACGAGGCUCCGCAGGCAAAGCCUGACUAAACUCCCCCCACAUACGCUUUGUACUCUACAUGCUGAUGUACUGUAUACCCAUGCAGUAUCGCCUGUCAGUACUAAUCCACAGUACAGCCCUCUUCCACGAACACACAUCGCUGUAUGAAUGACCAGCCUGGACAAUACCAUGACUGGAUUGGUGGGACUACAGGUGGCCUUUUCACACUUGUAGUCAACAAGUCCGUCGAAGACCAGGCUGGACUCGCAGGCCCCUCUGGUCUGGUCUCACACUAUUCCCUGGCGUUACCCUACCUCCUAUUCCAGCUCCUUUAUCUCGUGUGGUGUAUUAUUGGGACAAAAUGUAUGCGGCUCAGCACAUUUGAUGUGUAUUUGUGGCCUGAAUGAAGCCUUUUAAAGCAUACUAAUGACAAAGUGAAAUAGAAAUUUAAGGCAUUCAGAUGAUGAUAUGCAGUACUCUCCACUGGUCCCCAGGAGUCAGUAUCGUGACAUUGGGGAGACAGUAGCCCCUGCAGAAAGUACUGUGAGAUUUCUGUAUGGGCGGCCCAACCAGGGGUGGUAACGUGUCAAUGGUUAUGUGCCAUCUCUUUGUUGCUGUAGAAUUCCCAUCUGAUGAUGUUCCUCUCACAGUCGACGUGUUCUUCAACAGACGUACCGAGACGUUGCGAGGUCUGCCUCUGAGAGACAUGAUGAUAGACACGACAUAUCUGUUGGGAAAUGUAUGCUCAACAUGUUCCAAUUAAUCACGAUGAAAUGUUUGGAGUCGUGUCAAGGAGUCAAGCUUAUUUAUUCCCAGCAAGCAUUUGCAAACAGACACGCAGAUACGCUGGUCCUGCAGUGAGGCGCCAUCAAUCACACUUGGGAGCCAAUGAGCAGCCCCGCUUGGCCGUGUUUGAACCUUCCAAAUAGCCCCUCUGUCAUGUUAGCGCUGCGGAGUAAUUAGCAUGACGUAUCAUUCAAAGACACUGCGCUGCAUCGCCACCCCGGUGCUGCACGUUUGUAAAGUCCCAUCAGCCUUGAUAUUUAACUCCGCUCGACUAGACGGCCAUGCAGCCAAAGAAGAGUGGGAAUAAACAUUGAAAUGUUAUCCCAAAGCGAGAGCGAGCGAGCUGCAAGUCUCACUGCUGAGAGCAAAUCGUUCUCACUUAAAUCCCAGCGAGACUAAAAGGGAUUCAAGGAUUACAGCGUGCGCUCACGUCGCUUUAAUCAAAGUGCAAAGCCGUGCAGGAGAGUCGGCUCCUUGUUAGACGCUGAAGCCAAGCAGGUUGUGUAACACCAGAAGCCAAUACUUCCACUUCUGACGCAUAUUUCCCUCUUUAGUCCUAUUUCUAACCUUUUCUAGUCCUUUCCCUAACUACUUCCGUCGCCUGUGUGAAGCGUUGCAGGGAACGCGGCGCUUGUUUGAAGUGUUUGUGACACUGCCUGUGUGUGAUCUCCGGACGGAAGCUGGUGUUUUGCAGGUCGGUUCUCUUUCAAGCAAUAAAACUCAACUUUCUUUCUUUUUACCCACACCUCCCCCCUGGGAUGUGCGACACCGAGUAUUUGUACAAACCGCGCCGCUAAGUCGAUGUCUUCUUUGGAGAAAGAGACAACAGACAAAGGAGGAGCCACAAGCCGUUUCCCAGACCAAAAAGAGGGAAAAAGUAAAUACGGGUGGUUGUUUUUCAUGUUAUACAUGAAAAUGAAAAAGAGUAUCAAGUGUGAAGGAUGGCUUUAAGCAGCAUUCCUAUCAGCUAUUCCCAAAUAAGACGUGGAAAUGGGUUGGCGGUGGCCAGCACAUAAAGGAAGAAGGUUGCAAGUGUGACAUACUCAUGGACACUCACGUGCGUGCUGCUCGCCAUCCACCCAAAAUUGCAUGUAGGAGCACAUACGUGUAUGUAAUUGCUCCUUUAAUUGAAGUACUCAUCCUAUUUAAGUAUGCAAUACUUCAACAUUUGAUUAGCUCAUUUUGGCCAUACAAUCUGACUUACAUGUUGUUAUCUUUUAACGUAAUGAUGCGAGCCCCCCACCACAUGCUGCCUUAGAAGGAAAUCAAAGUAAAAGACAAAUAUAUUCGAGAGGUUUUUGGUGGCUCUGGGGCCCAGCAAAAUAGUGUCAUCAUCCACUUCAUGUCAGAAUGAGAGCGUUGGGAGUCAGAGGGGGCUGCUGGUAGCGAGAUGCAGGAUGGGUCCUUUGUUUCAUGUUGGCUAAUUCCAGCUAUUUUCCAACUCUUCUUUCAGGGUCUCUUUGGGAAGUCUUUGAUGCCGUGUCAGAAGCCUCCAUCUUCAAAGUACGUAGACCACCCAGCAUUCGGACACUCCAGUCCAGCUUGGGACCAUUAUCUCCUAACACAG